rnacentral:misc_RNA from 1 species
CUGAUAAUCAGUUAAACCAUAGCCCUUCCACAAACUUUCCCUCCCCUUCUUCUUCAACAAUCCAACAAACAAAAAUGUCAGUAGCAUCAUCUUCUUCCUUCCCCUGCAUCAAAAUUCAAAACCCAUCUUCUUCUUCAUCAUCAUCCUAUAAUUUCAGAUUUUCUACUACACUUACCAUUAGGAGUUCUCAAGCUGAUGGCCCUUUAAGAAGACCUAUGGUACAACCCCCAACCCCUCUCAAACCUACCCCACCAUCACCACCUUCAACUUCUUCGCCACCGCCUCCGUCUCCGCCUAGUGCUCCGCUUAAGCAGGUUGCAGUGGAG